GCGAAAGUGGCGGAAUUGGCAGACGCGCCAGCUUUAGGAGCUGGUGGCCUUUGGCCGUGGGGGUUCGAGUCCCCCCUUUCGCA
rnacentral:tRNA from 1 species